UUGCUCCAUGUAAUGUGGCAUCUGGCAUAAAACUUGUGCCAAAUCAAUAUGCAGAUCCAACUCAGAUCUUCUGGCGACCCCUAGUGAAAACAAGGGGGAAG